GGCCUGAUGGUCUAGUAGUAUGAUUCUCGCUUCGGGUUUACUCCUGGAAAUUCAUUUCCUUAUGUGCGAGAGGUCCUGGGUUCAAUUCCCAGUUAGGCCC